CUUAAUGAAACUUCAGUGCGUGAACAAUUCUCGUAAUGUCUUUGCGACAAAUCAGUGAGUGGAUGUCAUGUCCUAAGAUAUUUAUAACACUAAAGGUAGUGGUAAGUGAUACCAUUUGGCAGCCUUGGUUUAGAUGUGCUGAAGAUUUUUUCCUUUUGGUUUGCUAAGAAUGGAGUUCCAAGAAGCCACAAAACCCCAGUUUCCUUGGUCUAAAUGUAUCCCUUUCCUAUAGCAGGUCAUUCUUGUUAAUAAUGCCUGCAAGAAUGACAAACAACAGACAAUCACAGGCAUAGAGGAGGUCACAACUGCUUUUAGCUAGCCCAACUUUGUAAACUCCAUAUGAGAUAUGCUAAACCCUGCACGAUCCAUGGUUGUUUGAUUUUGAAUCUCACAUUACAAGAAUUCACAGACACGCUAACCUGCGUUAUAGAAUAACCCAAUUCGGCCUUUCUUUCCUAUCUGUACAUAGAUACUUUUUUUUUUACACAGUGACAGUCACUGCCUCUUAAACCAUUUUCUUUUGUUGCAUUUCCUUAGAAACACAAAUCUUGUUCCUUGGCAGCAGUUGCUGUAAGUGCUGUACCACAUGCCCAAACUAGUUCUCACUCACAGCUUUAAUUCACAGUAAGUGGCACGAAAGGAGGUCAACACUUCUCAGAAACCACUUUCAGUUCUUUGCUGCUUCAGUGUCUGUUCUAUAAAGCCCUAACAGAAUGAAAGUUGUUUCUCAUAUUGUGUCCCUUGCUUUUUUAUUAUUUCCAUCUUUAUGGAAUGGGCUGCAGAAUAUACGAUGGAAUAAAAGAUUAUUCCUGGAAUCACAUUCCUGGUCUCCCUUUCGCAAGAUCCUAAAAAUAUAACAUGACCUAAAAAAGGAUUUGCAAAGCAGCUUGGAGAGGGGAGAGAGCUCAUGUGUUUAUUGUUUUUUUGCUUAUUUUCUGCAGUUCUUUCAGAGAGCUUCUCAAGAUUUUCAAAGAUCUGUGAAUCUUGCAAGGUUCAUAUUUUCCAAGUACAGUGAGUCUAGAUUCAGUUUCUUUUGUGUCUUAGUAUAUUGCUUACACAUAUUACAAACUAUCUGAAUGCCACAGUGCUUUAAACGGGGCUGCAAAUACCCUCUGGAUCACCACCAGCAAAAAGCUGCUCCUCCUAAAAGGAAGUAAAAGCCAGUGUGACUUUUUAAUCUACUAUUUGCUAUUUCGUAGAACUGCAGGAAAACUGCCUUAAGGGCUGAGCGCUGCUCCUUCGGUGGCGAAGGAGAAGACGCGGGGUCUGAGCGCCACACUGGCGUCAUGCUCCGAGGCAGCGUUCGGGAGGGACAAGCCUGACAGAAGUGCUGAUUCACUGCAGCGACCAAGAGGUUGCUUAGUAGCUAAGCUGGGGGGAGAGAGACAGCACAGGGAGGGGGCAUCUGGAUCGGUGCAAAUAAACAGGAGGGAAUGCCAAAGUUAU